UAGGGAAUAUUAGACAUGGACGCAAGUCUGAUCUAGCAACACCGCGUGUGCGAAGAAGGCCUUCGGGUUGUAAAGCACUUUUUGGAAGGAUUAGGAAGGAAUGUACUUCCAGAAUAAGUCUCGGCUAACUACGUGCCAGCAGCCGCGGUAACACGUAGGAGGCAACCGUUAUCCGGAUUUACUGGGCGUAAAGCGCGUGUAGGUGGUUCUGUAAGUAGGGCGUGAAAGCUCCUGGCUCAACUGGGAGAGGCCGUUCGAAACUGCAGAGCUAGAGGAUGGUAGAGGGAGGUGGAAUUCCGGGUGUAGCGGUGGAAUGCGCAGAUAUCCGGAGGAACACCAGUGGCGAAAGCGGCCUCCUGGACCAUUCCUGACACUCAGACGCGAAAGCUAGGGUAGCAAACG
rnacentral:rRNA from 1 species